UACGUAGGUGGCAAGCGUUGUCCGGAUUUACUGGGCGUAAAGAGCGCGCAGGCGGUCGUUCAAGUCGCGUGUGAAAGCCCCCCGGCUCAACUGGGGAGGGUCACGCGAUACUGAUCGACUCGAAGGCAGGAGAGGGAAGUGGAAUUCCCGGUGUAGUGGUGAAAUGCGUAGGAUAUCUGGAGGAAUACCGGUGGCGAAGGCGGCGAGUCCU
rnacentral:rRNA from 1 species